ensembl:snRNA RNU6-558P RNA, U6 small nuclear 558, pseudogene
AUGCCCACUUCAGCAGCACAUAUACUAAAACUGGAACGAUACAGAGAUUAGCAUGGCCCCUGUGCAAGGAUGACACACAAAUUCAUGAAGCAUUCUAUAUUUUU